rnacentral:lncRNA from 12 species
AGUUCUCACUGCUGUUUACAGGGAGAAGCAGGAGUUUCCAUCUCAGGGACAGCUAUAUCAGGACACAGGAGAAAACUUCAGAUACAAGGGCUUUGCUUCAAUUAGCAGGAGCUCCCUGGAGUACUUGGAGUGAGGAGAGGCCUCACAGGAUGAGGACCACUGUCCAGAAGAGUCCCUGGUGUGCCCCCUGCAAUCAUCACCCACACCAGGGCUCCCAGCAGCUGAGCUCUGCAGGGGCAGGCAGCCUGCUGCUGGGAACCAGGGAAAAAGCAGCCUUGAAGCCUUGGGUUUCUUAGACUGGUCAAAGAUAAAAAAUUAUACCAAUGAUUACACACCUGCAGGGUGUGUGAGAGCUGUGUGAUGUCUCGUGAUGUUUUGCAGAAAGCAUGUUUUCAAAGAGGCGUUGCCUU